UACGUAGGUGGCAAGCGUUGUUCGGAUUUACUGGGCGUAAAGAGCGCGCAGGCGGUCGUUCAAGUCGCGUGUGAAAGCCCCCGGCUCAACUGGGGAGGUCACGCGAUACUGAUCGACUCGAAGGCAGGAGAGGGAAGUGGAAUUCCCGGUGUAGUGGUGAAAUGCGUAGAUAUCGGAAGGAACACCAGUGGCGAAAGCGGCUUCCUGGUCCAGCACCGACGUUCAGGCACGAAAGCGUGGGGAGCAAACAGG
rnacentral:rRNA from 1 species